rnacentral:rRNA from 1 species
UACGGGGGGUGCAAGCGUUACUCGGAUUUACUGGGUGUAAAGGGAGCGCAGACGGUUAUGCAAGUCUGGAGUGAAACCCCACAGCUCAACUGUGGGCUUGCUUUGGAAACUGUGUAACUAGAGUACUGGAGAGGUAAGCGGAAUUCCUAGUGUAGCGGUGAAAUGCGUAGAUAUUAGGAGGAACACCGGUGGCGAAGGCGGCUUACUGGACAGCAACUGACGUUGAGGCUCGAAGGCGUGGGGAGCAAACAGG